rnacentral:rRNA from 1 species
AACGAACGCUGGCGGCAGGCCUAACACAUGCAAGUCGAACGAACCCUUCGGGGUGAGUGGCGCACGGGGUGCGUAACACGUGGGAAUAUACACAUAGGGUAAGGAAUAAACUCAGGGAAACUUGCGCUAAUACCUUAUAAGUAACUCCGGUUCAAAGAUUUAUCGCCUAAUGGAUUAGCCCGCGCUAGAUUAGUUGUUGGUGAGGUAAGAGCUCACCAAGACUACGAUCUAUAGCUGGUCUUAGAGGAUGAUCAGCCACACUGGAACUGAGACAGGUCCAGACUCCUACGGGAGGCAGCAGUGAGGAAUAUUGCGCAAUGGAGGAAACUCUGACGCAGCC